rnacentral:rRNA from 1 species
UGGGGAAUAUUGCACAAUGGAGGGAACUCUGAUGCAGCGACGCCGCGUGAGUGAUGAAGGAAUUCGUUUCGUAAAACUCUGUUCUAUGGGAAGAAAAGGACUGUACCAUAGGAGAAAGCUCCGGCUAAAUACGUGCUAGCAGCCGCGGUAAUACGUAUGGAGCGAGCGUUGUCCGGAAUUAUUGGGCGUAAAGGGUGCGCAGGCGGCUUUACAAGUUGGAUGUGAAAUAUUGUGGCUCAACCACAAACGUGCAUCCAAAACUGCAAAGCUUGAGUUAAGGAGAGGUAAGUGGAAUUCCUGGUGUAGCGGUGGAAUGCGUAGAUAUCAGGAGGAAUACCGGUGGCGAAGGCGACUUACUGGACUUAAACUGACGCUCAGGCACGAAAGCGUGGGGAGCAAACAGG